UAUUGAGGAAGGUCAAGUUAUAAUUCUAUUCUGAAUUUUACUAGGUCCCUCUUAUCUGGGUAUUUUAAUCUAUUGAUUCUAUCUUUAUAUUGCUGCUGCAGUUCCCCACCUAUGAAGUGUGACUGAAUUGUAUUGGUGGUUGUUUGAUAUUAUUACUGUUGUAUUAACUUUUGUAUUAACUUUUGUUUUAUUACCUUAUUGUGUUUUAACCUUUGUAUAUUGUACUAAUGUAUUUGUGCUGUUACUUUUGUAACAAUGUGAGCCACCCUGAGUCCCCGCGGGGAGAUGGUGGCGGGGUAUAAAUAAAUUAUUAUUAUUAUUAUUAUUAUUAUUAUUAUUAUUAUUAUUAUUAUUAUUAUUUUAUUAUGACACAGCAAACAGGACAGAUAUGCUGGAUUUCAUAUCACAAAAUCACAAGUCGAACACUUCCCAAGUGUCUAGGACUGUGUGAUGUAUUUUCGGAUGAUGCGCGCAGAUCCCAGCAGGGUGGCCUUUUGCAGUUGGCUGAUCGUAAUUUUGUCAACGUCUAUUGUUUCCAAAUGCCGGCUGAGAUCUUUUGGCACGGCACCCAGUGUGCCCAUCACCACUGGGACCACCUGCACUUGUUUCUGCCAGAGUCUUUGAAGUUCAAUCUUGAGGUCCUGAGAGCGGCUGAGUUUUUCCUGUUGUUUUUCAUCAAUGCGACAGUCACCUGGGAUGGCGACAUCAAUGAUCCAAACCUUGUUCUUUUCCACAACUGUGAUGUCUGGUGUGUUGUGUUCCAGAACUUUGUCAGUCUGGAUUCGGAAGUCCCACAGUAUCUUUGCGUGCUCAAACAUGCAAAGAUACUGUGGGACUUCCGAAUCCAGACUGACAAAGUUCUGGAACAUAACACACCAGACAUCACAGUUGUGGAAAAGAACAAGGUUUGGAUCAUUGAUGUUGCCAUCCCAGGUGACAGUCGCAUAGAUGAAAAACAACAGGAAAAACUCAGCCGCUAUCAGGACCUCAAGAUUGAACUUCAAAGACUCUGGCAGAAACCAGUACAGGUGGUCCCGGUGGUGAUGGGCACACUGGGUGCUGUGCCAAAAGAUCUCAGCCGGUAUUUGGAAACAAUAGACAUUGACAAAAUCACCAUCUGCCAACUGCAAAAGGCCACCCUACUGGGAUCUGCACACAUCAUCAGAAAAUACAUCACACAGUCCUAGACACUUGGGAAGUGUUUGACUUGUGGUUUUGCGAAACGAAAUCCAGCAUAUCUAUCUUGUUUGCUGUGCCAUACAACGUCGUUGUGUUGAUAAUAAUAAUAAUCUUUAUUUUUAUAUCCCGCCCCAUCUCCCCGAAGGGACUCGGGGCGGCUCACAACAGGGACAAGCCCGAACAACAACAACAUAUUUAACAUAAACUUAAAACAUUCCAACAAUACACAAAAUAAAAUAAUGGACAAAUACAUUAAAAUCCAAGCAGAUAACUGAACGAAUGGCAGAGAGAAAUUAACAAAUUUAUAUGGGGCAGAAAAAGAG
rnacentral:lncRNA from 1 species